UUGUCCUUAACAAUAAAUGCAGCAGGUAUCUUCAGUUUUACAUCGCUCCGAAUAUGAUCUGUUGUUUUCAGUUUUGGGACUAAAACACGGAAGCUGUGUUCACCCAAACCAUUUUCAGAUGUAAUAGAUAUAAGAUCUAUUAUUGAACGGCAUUAGCUGCAGUUCACACUCCAGACCAGAUGGUGGCGGUAGUUGCACACUUUCAGUUGUUUUGAAAAGCGCCAUAAAAAGAAGGAAAGCUGUGUAGCCAUAGAAGAUGACAGACGCUGUUCAAAUUCGUCACUUUUACUCGCCUAAUAUUUCCUUAAAAGUAGAGAUAAAAGCCUUGAUAAAAGUUAGUAAUUUAGGUAAAUUCGAGCUGGUGACGUCAUAGUCCGCGUUAGACGACAAGAACCGAUGGAAAUGAAAUGUGGGUCACGAAGGCUGCUAACGUGUUGCUAGCUGGUGGUAAGUUAUAAACAGUGCAGUAAAGAUAUAAACAAACUUACGUUGGUUUCAGAAAUAAUUAUUUUAGCAAUUUUAUUGUGACUUUUAUGAUUAUUACUAUAACAAUCAUUCGGCUUCAUGUUAUAACUGUUUGUUGCGACUUAAUAUAGUUUUCUUCAUAAACGUAACCUGGUUUUAAUUAAGCUCCGUAUGACAAAGAGACUUUGAUAUUGUGAGGCUGUUGUUAAAACCCGUUCAUCACUGUUUUUAUCAUAUUUUUGCAGUCUAAGCAAAUGAAGAUGAAAGAGGAAGCCAGAAAUCAGGUAUUAGAAAACCUUCUCAGAAGAGGCUGUGGCUCCACCAGAUCACCAACCAGUUCAGAGGAUGAAGCUCCACAUCGUCUUCAUGGUGUAAGUCUGUUUUCACUGAGCAGCUGGCUACAUUUUCAACAGCAAAAACUGGUGUGUUAUCAACACUAAGUGCUUAAUAAACAUGAUUCAUUUAAAAAUAACUGGACAGAAUUUUUUCCCCUUGUUAAUCUACCAUUUCUCUUUCAUACAUUUUAUUCGUUGUUGGCUUUCAGGGCCCUGUGACAAACUGGUGACCUGUCCAGGGUGAACCCCGCCUCUCAUCUGAUGACUGCUGGAGACGGGCACCGCCAGUCCCCCCUCCCCACUUCAAGGAUCAGCGUGUUCAGAUCAUGGAUGGAAAGCUUUUAAGGAAAAGAAGUCACACAGAAAUGGUUUUCCACCCCAGGCAUCUGGUCCCAAUCAUCAUCAGUUCUGAUGAUGUCACAUACAUAGCGAGUCCACAACGUCUUAAAAUUGUUUCUGUAAAGUGCAGUGAGUGGGAAUGUUCUGUCGUAGAUCCUCACUGUUCUUAGGAAGGAGAAAUGUCCGUUUGUCUGGAGUAAUACUGGAAUACUGUGACAUUGUAUUAAAGCAAUACUCUGUCCGUGGUGAAAUAUUUUUCGCAUUUCCUCUGAAGUGUACCUAUUGUUUUAUUGUGCUAACUUUCAUAAGCAUGUUGUCUGUAAACUUUGAAUGCAAUGACAAUUUGUACAAAUCUGUGACAGUAUAUUGGCUCUUGAAAAAAUGUGGGUAAGACUUUAUUUGACGGCGUG